rnacentral:rRNA from 1 species
GACGAACGCUGGCGGCGUGCUUAACACAUGCAAGUCGAACGGAAAGGCCCUGCUUUUGUGGGGUGCUCGAGUGGCGAACGGGUGAGUAACACGUGAGUAACCUGCCCUUGACUUUGGGAUAACUUCAGGAAACUGGGGCUAAUACCGGAUAGGAGCUCCUGCUGCAUGGUGGGGGUUGGAAAGUUUCGGCGGUUGGGGAUGGACUCGCGGCUUAUCAGCUUGUUGGUGGGGUAGUGGCUUACCAAGGCUUUGACGGGUAGCCGGCCUGAGAGGGUGACCGGCCACAAUGGGACUGAGAUACGGACCAGACUCCUACGGGAGGCAGCAGUGGGGAAUAUUGCACAAUGGGCGGAAGCCUGAUGCAGCAACGCCGCGUGCGGGAUGACGGCCUUCGGGUUGUAAACCGCUUUCGCCUGUGACGAAGCGUGAAUGACGGUAAUGGGUAAAGAAGCACCGGCUAACUACGUG